AGAGUUUGAUCCUGGCUCAGGAUAAACGCUGGCGGCGCACAUAAGACAUGCAAGUCGAACGGAAGUCGUUAUAAAAGGAGAGAAGAUUUGUCGGAUUGAAUUUUAUAACAAUGGCUUUAGUGGCGGACUGGUGAGUAACGCGUAAGGAACCUACCUAUUAGAGGGGAACAACAAUGAGAAAUCAUUGCUAAUACCGCAUAUGCCAUAACUACCGCAUGGUAGAAGUGGGAAAGGAGUAAUCCGCUGAUAGAUGGCCUUGCGUCUGAUUAGUUAGUUGGUGGGGUAACGGCCUACCAAGACGACGAUCAGUAGCCGGACUGAGAGGUUGAACGGCCACAUUGGGACUGAGAUACGGCCCAGACUCCUACGGGAGGCAGCAGUCGGGAAUAUUGCGCAAUGGAGGAAACUCUGACGCAGUGACGCCGCGUGCAGGAAGAAGGUUUUCGGAUUGUAAACUGCUUUAGACAGGGAAGAGAAAGGACAGUACCUGUAGAAUAAGCUCCGGCUAACUACGUGCCAGCAGCCGCGGUAAUACGUAGGGAGCGAGCGUUAUCCGGAUUUAUUGGGUGUAAAGGGUGCGUAGACGGGAAUACAAGUUAGUUGUGAAAUACCUCGGCUUAACUGAGGAACUGCAACUAAAACUAUAUUUCUUGAGUACAGGAGAGGUAAGUGGAAUUCCUAGUGUAGCGGUGAAAUGCGUAGAUAUUAGGAGGAACACCAGUGGCGAAGGCGACUUACUGGACUGAAACUGACGUUGAGGCACGAAAGUGUGGGGAGCAAACAGGAUUAGAUACCCUGGUAGUCCACACCGUAAACGAUGGAUACUAGGUGUAGGAGAUAUUAAGUCUUCUGUGCCGUCGCAAACGCAGUAAGUAUCCCACCUGGGGAGUACGGCCGCAAGGUUGAAACUCAAAGGAAUUGACGGGGGCCCGCACAAGCAGUGGAGUAUGUGGUUUAAUUCGAAGCAACGCGAAGAACCUUACCAGGGCUUGACAUAUAGAUGAAUAUAUAAGAGAUUAUAUAGCUCUUCGGAGCAUCUAUACAGGUGGUGCAUGGUUGUCGUCAGCUCGUGUCGUGAGAUGUUGGGUUAAGUC
rnacentral:rRNA from 1 species